CCUACGGGUGGCAGCAGUGAGGAAUAUUGGUCAAUGGACGAGAGUCUGAACCAGCCAAGUAGCGUGAAGGAUGACUGCCCUAUGGGUUGUAAACUUCUUUUAUAUGGGAAUAAAACGUUCCACGUGUGGGAUUUUGUAUGUACCAUAUGAAUAAGGAUCGGCUAACUCCGUGCCAGCAGCCGCGGUAAUACGGAGGAUCCGAGCGUUAUCCGGAUUUAUUGGGUUUAAAGGGAGCGUAGGUGGGUUGUUAAGUCAGUUGUGAAAGUUUGCGGAUCAACCGUAAAAUUGCAGUUGAAACUGGCAGUCUUGAGUACAGUAGAGGUGGGCGGAAUUCGUGGUGUAGCGGUGAAAUGCUUAGAUAUCACGAAGAACUCCGAUUGCGAAGGCAGUUCACUGGACUGCAACUGACACUGAGGCUCGAAAGUGUGGGUAUCAAACAGGAUUAGAUACCCGUGUAGUC
rnacentral:rRNA from 1 species